rnacentral:rRNA from 1 species
AUUGAACGCUGGCGGCAUGCCUUACACAUGCAAGUCGAACGGCAGCACGGGGGGUAACCCCUGGUGGCGAGUGGCGAACGGGUGAGUAAUAUAUCGGAACGUGUCCUGUAGCGGGGGAUAACCUAUCGAAAGAUGGACUAAUACCGCAUACGACCUACGGGUGAAAGCGGAGGACCGCAAGGCUUCGCACUAUAGGAGCGGCCGUUAUCGGAUUAGCUAGUUGGCGGGGUAACGGCCCACCAAGGCGACGAUCCGUAGCUGGUCUGAGAGGACGAUCAGCCACACUGGAACUGAGACACGGUCCAGACUCCUACGGGAGGCAGCAGUGGGGAAUUUUGGACAAUGGGCGCAAGCCUGAUCCAGCCAUGCCGCGUGAGUGAAGAAGGCCUUCGGGUUGUAAAGCUCUUUCGGCGGGGACGAAACGGUUCGUGCUAAUACCACGGACUACUGACGGUACCCGCAGAAGAAGCACCGGCUAACUACGUG